rnacentral:rRNA from 1 species
UAAGGAAUAUUGGUCAAUGGACGCAAGUCUGAACCAGCCAUGCCGCGUGGAGGAUGAAGGUCCUCUGGAUUGUAAACUUCUUUUAUUUGGGAAGAAACCCAUAGUUUCUACUGUGGUUGACGGUACCAGAUGAAUAAGCACUGGCUAACUCCGUGCCAGCAGCCGCGGUAAUACGGAGGGUGCAAGCGUUAUCCGGAUUCACUGGGUUUAAAGGGUGCGUAGGUGGGCAGGUAAGUCAGUGGUGAAAUCCCCAAGCUUAACUUGGGAACUGCCAUUGAUACUAUUUGUCUUGAAUACCGUGGAGGUGAGCGGAAUAUGUCAUGUAGCGGUGAAAUGCUUAGAUAUGACAUAGAACACCAAUUGCGAAGGCAGCUUGCUACGCGGAUAUUGACACUGAUGCACGAAAGCGUGGGGAUCAAACAG